UAAAGCCAAGUAUCAGGUGAGAUCCUA
rnacentral:piRNA from 1 species